CGAGUCUACCAUUGACAGGCGAGUGAGUGUGGUCAUGGCGCCGUGUUAUUUAAGCCGAAUUUAAGUGUUUUGAGAAGGUCGUGCGGGUCACUUCAUCAGCCGGCAGACCUGGCAUGAUGUUUGGAAUGGUCAUGGUGCUCUACUACUAUUCUCCUCUGAGCUUAAUGUGUCUUAACACGUUGCCUGCGGCUGGCAGUGUGGCGAACUCUCCAGUACUGCGAUCCAAACACUUUGCCCACACUUCAGUGCGGCUCAACCCAGUGGAGCGAGUGGAGAUGGAGAAUAUAAAUGUUGCAAGCUUUUAUGGUCAUCCUAGUUCAACAGAAAAGAGAGAAGACAGCCCAAAUGAAGACUCUGCUGAUCCACGUUAUGAAACAGAGUCUUCUUGCUCCUCUGAUAGCCAAUCACUUGAUAU